GUUUGAUCCUGGCUCAGAGCGAACGCUGGCGGCAGGCCUAACACAUGCAAGUCGAACGGACCCUUCGGGGUUAGUGGCGGACGGGUGAGUAACACGUGGGAACGUGCCUUUUGGUUCGGAAUAGCUCCUGGAAACGGGUGGUAAUGCCGAAUGUGCCCUUCGGGGGAAAGAUUUAUCGCCAUUAGAGCGGCCCGCGUCUGAUUAGCUAGUUGGUGAGGUAAAGGCUCACCAAGGCGACGAUCAGUAGCUGGUCUGAGAGGAUGACCAGCCACAUUGGGACUGAGACACGGCCCAAACUCCUACGGGAGGCAGCAGUGGGGAAUCUUGCGCAAUGGGCGAAAGCCUGACGCAGCCAUGCCGCGUGAAUGAUGAAGGUCUUAGGAUUGUAAAAUUCUUUCACCGGGGACGAUAAUGACGGUACCCGGAGAAGAAGCCCCGGCUAACUUCGUGCCAGCAGCCGCGGUAAUACGAAGGGGGCUAGCGUUGCUCGGAAUUACUGGGCGUAAAGGGAGCGUAGGCGGACAUUUAAGUCAGGGGUGAAAUCCCAGAGCUCAACUCUGGAACUGCCUUUGAUACUGGAUGUCUUGAGUGUGAGAGAGGUAUGUGGAACUCCGAGUGUAGAGGUGAAAUUCGUAGAUAUUCGGAAGAACACCAGUGGCGAAGGCGACAUACUGGCUCAUUACUGACGCUGAGGCUCGAAAGCGUGGGGAGCAAACAGGAUUAGAUACCCUGGUAGUCCACGCCGUAAACGAUGAUUGCUAGUUGUCGGGAUGUUUACAUCUCGGUGACGCAGCUAACGCAUUAAGCAAUCCGCCUGGGGAGUACGGUCGCAAGAUUAAAACUCAAAGGAAUUGACG
rnacentral:rRNA from 1 species